CAUCAUCAAGGUGCCAUGGAUUUAAUGUUGUUGCCCAUCAUUGAAACUAGAAAUAAUGUAUGAUUGCCAAAAACUAAUAACAGGAGAAACGUUAAAUGUAUGAUUGCCAAACUAACAACAGGGAUAACGUGCACAAACAACAACAAACAUACUUGUAAUAACAAAAUAUUUAAAAGAAAAUAAAACAAAACAAGAAGGCAGUUCUUUAGUUCCAAAUACAGUACCCAUAUUCCUCAAGUCUGAUCUCCUUGCCUGUUUUCUGAUCCAGACUCCUGAUUUGCCCUGUUCCCCGGGUUCGAUCCCCCAUCAUUGUUGCUGUUGCUAGUCUCAGCAGGGGAUCCAAAUGUCCGAAACGGCCAUGGAAAUGAGAUCCUAAACAUCCUAUCUGCAGUCCUAGGGGUCUGAGGAUUCGGAUUCUCUCCAGAAACUGCUGCCCCACCAGCAGCACCAGAAGCUGAGUUCGAAGCAGCCCCAGCAGCAGCCACCGCAGCAGCAUUUCCGCCAGUUUGAUUGACUUGGCCACCCCGAGUGCGGUGCUCGUAGUCGGGAUCAUCGGUGGGCAACUCGUACCGACAGACCGGACACGAAUUAUGCAGUUCCAACCAAGGUAGAAUACAAUCGUUAUGGUAAAUGUGCUUACAAGGCAUCUGCUUGGCCUCCUCAUCGAGCUCAAAGCUGUCCUUGCACACCGCACACUGCGACGAAUCCGUUCCCAACAAUUCCACCGUAAUCCGAAUGGUCGGAAGCCCCUCAAUCGCUGAUUUCGAUGCCGGCGGCGUACCGUACCGGUUCGGAUCGUUCUCCGCCAGCUGCUGGAUCAGCUGCUCCAGCCCCGGUCCAAUGAAGUAGUCCCCGAGGUUUGGCGAAAGCCGGAACGUACCCUCCGGCGAGUUACCGUCAAUCACAAAUUGAACGUUCGUGCCACCUGCCCUUAGGGUUUGCAGAUAAUUCUGUAGGAAAGCAAAGGGGUGGAACGCAUCGGGGUCUGCCCCGAACAGACCGGGGAAAUCGACGGAGUUCUGGAGAUCGAUGCUCCCUCCGGCAGCGGUUGAGAAGACAAGCGGAGGGAAGGCAGUGGCUGUGGCGCCGGCGGCGGAUAGAGAGGGCAAAUCGGAGAAACCUAAGAAGGGAUUGGGGAUUGGGACGGGGAUAGGGUUAGGAUUAGGGUUUUCAACCUCCUCGAGAAAGCCAUCGUUGCAAUGAGGGCAGAGAGGAUCGGAGGUGGGAGAAGGGGUGAUGGAGACCGUAAGGUUGCACUGGUAGCAGAAGUAGGACUGAGGAGCGGCGGAGCCACCACCAGGGCCGCCGCCGCCGCUGCCGCCGGAGAAGCCACUAAGCGACAUCGUUUUGGAGGAAGAUUUUAUUGCCAGACAAUGGAGAGAGGAAGGAGGAAGACUAUGAAUUUCUCGUGUUUGAGAAAUGAGAGAGAGAUGAUCCGUGCCUGCUGACGUGGCGCCAUAUUAGAAGGCCAGAGUAACUGACCCCACCGUCAUGUAUUUACUCUCUGUUUGGAAACACCUACUACCUACGCCUACUGUACCAACCAACAUCGUCUUGCCCUCUACGCUUGUCCAAACAAACCCCGAAGCAAACCUCUUUGCUCUUUUUGAAAAUUAAAAAUAAUGUAAAAUACUAAAAUAGCAAGGGUUUUUGUUUGCAACAUCUCGAGAAUAGUUGUCAAAAAACUGUCUUUAUAAACAGUUUUUACAAUAAUUUUUAAUUAUUUUCAAGAGUAAAAUUUUAUUUUAAAACUUAAAUAUAAAAAAUAGUUUCCUCACUUUAUUUCUUCAUAAUGUUAGUGUAUAUGAAGUUAGUGCCGUUAUAUGUACAAUACUAAAAAUUAAAUUAAAACAAAAUAGUAAAAAAACUUUCGCUUUCCCAAAAAAUCUUAAAUUUUGAAGAGAGAUUUUAAAAUGAACUAAAUUUCAAUUCUAAAUUUAAAAAUAAAAGAUAGAAAAUGUAUCCAAAUGUCAUUUUAUUAUAUUGUUUACAAAUAAAAAUAUUCAUAAACUUAAGUUAGUAUAAAAUUUAUAAAAAUAAUUUAUUUGUAGUAGGAAAUAGAUAUUUUUUUAGAAUUAAAAAAAAUAGUUUUUUAAUACAAUCAACCACAUACCAAAUUUUUUUUUUAUAUAUCAAAUUUAAACUAUUUCGAACAGCAAAACAUGUUUAUUAAAACUUAACAUUUAUUAUUUAAUAAUUUAAAGUGACUUUAAGUUAAAUUAUAUUUAAGUUAUUAAUUCAAAACUUAUUACUUAAUUCUUAUUGUUUGAUAAAAUUAACUUAAAAUUUAUUUUACAUCAUCAAAUUGAUAUAUUUAUCCUUAUAAAUUAUAAUUAGAGAAAAAAAAAAAUCAAAUAAUAGUAAAGGUUAUGGAGUAGCAAAGGAGAUCAAGAAGGUAAUUAGGAUAAAUGGAAGUAAAAUGAUAAAAUAAAGAUGUAAAUUUAAGACCAAGUUAAUUGUUUUUACUUAUUACUUAAAAGUUGUUUUUGACUUUAAGUUAUGUCAUUAAGUUAUUUUGUUAAAUAUAUUUAAUUUACUUAAUGACUUAAAUUAAGAUAUUAAAUAACUUUAAGUUAUUAAGUUGGUUUACCAAAUACCCAUUUAAAAGGAAAAAUAAUUUGGACUUUCAAAAUCAAUUAUAGAUAUUGACGGCAUAGGAAAAAUAUUUACAAAAUUAACAAUAAUCGUUUUUUAUAUACUUAUUUUGGAAAUAAUUUUGACAUAUUUAUUCAUAUUUAUAGCAUUAUUCAUGUAAAAAACCACGACAAUAUUGAAAGUAUUUGCAUUUUUAAAAUUGAGUGGCCCUAAGUUUUUACCCAAAUGUGAAAGAAAAAGUUUAAACAUUCGUUUGAAAAUUUUAUUUUAUUUUUAUAAAAUAAUUUUUACGAACAAUUUUUAAAAAUAAUUUUUAAGAAAAAAAUGCAAUUUCAAAAUUCAAAUAUAAAAAUUACGAGUCUAUUUGGUCAUGUGAUUUAAAAACAGUUUUUUGUUUUUAAAACUAUUGUUAAAGACAAGAAACUAUUUUAAAAAUUUUUUUUAACAUUGUUUGGCCAUUAUUCUCUAAAAAAAUAAUUAAAAACAAAGUGAAAUAGAUAUCAAUUUUUAAAGAACAAGAGUUGUUUUUAUCAUUUUUUUAAAAACAAAAAGAAAAUAUAGCCCAAUGGAACUGUAUUUUUUUAUACUUGUUUUUAAAAACUACUUUUAAGUUAAAAAAUAAAUAAUAAUUUUAAAAAACUUGGCCAAACGGGCUCUAAUUUUAUUGAUCUAUUCUUCCUAACUUUCUAAUAGUAUUGGGAAGAAUAGAUCAAAAAGUAUUCUUUUUGGUACCAUGCUCUAAUACCAAAGAGGGUGGUACUAAAAAAAAAAUUCAACUAUCUAGAAGUUUACUAAAAAUUUUUAAAUAUCACAAGCAACUAUCCAAAGAAACUCUAAUAUGGCAUGGACAAACUAGAAUUAGAGUUUUCUCCUUGGUUAUUUUUGUUCAUAUGUAGUUGGAUCUUAGAGAUUUCUAGAUUACAAAAAGCAAUUUUUUGAGCAUUUUCUUCAUUAGUAUCUAUUAAGCAAGCCUUAAUACUUCUAAUAGUAUUAGUUGUAGAAGAUAUAUUGUUUUCAACACAGACGAUAAAAUUCCUAAAGGAUUCUAGCGAACAAAUAUUUAUUCUUUUUACUUGGUCAGGAGAUAAUAUCAUAGAUUGAUACAAACAAUUUCUUGAAAUAGUAAUAUGAGAACAAAGUAAAUAAGAAUCAAUAAUUGAAAAAAAGGAGUAUUUGUUACUUGCAUGUAAUAAUAGUGUGAGAUCUAGGAUAAAAUGGAUGUUUAAUACUGAGCGUCUACAAGGAUAAAAAUAUCGGUAAUUACGAAUAUAUCAAUACUUCGAUUUUACGGAUAUUUUGGGAAAAAAAUUUGGUAGGCUUAAAAUUGUUAAAAACUCAUGAAAAUGCAAAAAAAAACCUCAUAAUAAUAUAAUUAAAAGUAUAAUAGACAUUUUAAAGUUAUUUUAUUGAAGAAUUUGAUAUACAUAUGAUAUAAUUUGUGAUAUUAGAUGUAAUUAUAUCAUGUCGAUCUAUAAUAAAUGUUAAUUUUGUAAUUGUUCUCAUUAAGAAGUCACAUAAAAUACUUCAUUUCAUUAAAUAUCAAUAAUUUGUACACAUUACAUCGCAAUGUCCCUUUAGUACCAAAAUGAGGAUCGAUAUGGUUCAGUGGGAUUGAUAGAUGAAGGAACCUUGUCUUACUAUUGGAGACAAUAUUGGUACCAACUUAAUGAGCCUCGAUAAUAUUGGUUAAAAAUUCUAACAUGUCAUGCAUAUAUCUCUUGAGUCCUGCCCAUUGCCUCUUCAUGGAUAGGAUACUCAAAGUUCGCCCAUGUGUUAAUGUCAAACCAUCCUUCCAUCUAAUAUGGAACUUGGUAUGGUAUUUGUUUGAAAGGGGAACAAUGCGACAUACCAUACUCUUCAUCGAUUGAACUUGAAGGUUGACCAUAACUCAUCACAUGAGGAGGAUAGACAUUAGCCUCAUUCGAGGAGUCACUAAAUUGAGUCCCUAUACUCAUAGAUUCAAAACUCCCUGAAAGUAACUCUUCGCUAUAUGGUUCCAUUGUUCGUUCUCUUCCUCUAUAGGGCUUCCCAAUAGCUCUUAUGCCUGGACUAACUUUUCUAGAGCCAUGGUUUUCAUCCUGUGUGCAGUGUGUGAAAUCAUUUUCACAGGUAAAUUGGCUAAUUGGAUAUUGACUAUGUUGACGUUUGAUUCGUGCCCAAUUGGUGUCUCAGCUGAUUCGUGUCCAGCUGGUGCUCCUUGAUUGAGGGAGUAAUCAACAAAAUUUAUAACCUAUUACACCAUUUACUAGGGUAGCAAAGACAAAGCUACUAUAGCAUACUGACUCUAGGAUCGUUCACUGGGAUGAGUUUUCACUUUGCAAAUGAUAUUAAUUCAAAGCUGAAUUGGUGCCUUUUCAUUUCAAGGUUAGCUUUAAAAGAAAACAUAAAGAUGUUUGAAUGAAAAAGGUUUGGUUUUAAACUAAUCAAAAAUAGUAACUGAUUUUACUUACAAAGAAAAGUUGUUUCUUGGAGUUUCAGAUCACUAGGCUCAGAUUCCUCAUACAAAAAGGGAGUUCCUGUCACUUGUUUCUUUUCCUCGCAUUAGAGAAUUAACAUAUAGUUCCUUCUCCAAUCGGUGUUGUACAGAUGCUUCCCAUUAAUGGGUUUAAACACUAAAUCCCUCUCACUGAUGCACCUUGCAAUGACUCAUACCUCUCACCUAGCACUUGCCAUUCAAGGUGAUCUUUAACCUUGGAUUACCCGUCAAAAGCUCGCAAGAGAUAACUAAUGGAUGUCUCCUUAGAGUCCAAAAGCUUACCAAGUGUUGGCUAUUCUAGAAAAUCCUACCUUCAAGUCACCUCCCAAAGGCUCGCAAGGGGUAAACUAGUGAAUCUCCAUGGACGGAGAUCACUUGCCUUACCAAGUGUUGGCCCAGGUGAUUUAAAGGCGUUUUAAGUUAACUAAAAAGAUAAAAAUCAUUAACCGGUCACACUUUCUCUUCAUUAAAAACUAAAACAACAAAACUUCCAAAUUAUGCAUGUGGAAACUUACCCGACUUUCCUCACUCCAAGAGACAAAGAGCAUAGCCUCUCAUCCUCUGAGGAAAAAUCCUCAGAGUUUGGUUAGCAAGAAAAUGAAAAUGAAAAAGAAGGAAAAACAGAGCAAGGCUCUGUAAAUUCUAUAUAUUUAUCUAUCUAUUUCUAUAUAUGUUACAGUGGAUGCAAGGGAAUAUAUAUAGAGACGUUUUUCUAACCUUCCUAACUAAGAAAUCUUAUGGUUGGUGGAUUACAAGGAGAAGAAUGGAAAUUCAUACAAAAAUAUCUGAAGAAAAAUAUCCAAAAGUGUCGGUCGCAAAUAUCGGGAAGCACUAAGGACCAUUUCACAGGUGAAAAUGAGGUCUGCGAGAUUUCGUAAACGCACAAAAAAGGGCUGCGAAAUCACUUCGCAGCAAAAGGUUGACUUCGCAGCGCUGCGAAGUUGGCUUUCAGCUUGCGAUGUUCGGCUUCCAUGGUGUCGUAAAUAUCGGGAAACUUCAGGAGGAAUUCCAUAGUACUGUGCAAAAAGGCUGCGAAAUCAUUUCGCAACAAAAGGGUGAUUCCGCAACACUUUUGCAAAAUGCUUUCUUCAGCUUAGAGUGAUUGACUUGCAGUGGCUGUAACUUCUUCGUUUCAACUCCAAAUUGUGCACCGUUUGAAAAUUUUGAUUGUUGACUUCCUGAGCUUUAAAAUGGUAUAUAGCAUGCAUAAAAUGGACUUCGGGAAGUGCUCCAAAAGUGCGCAAGAAGACUGUAGUUGCUGUCCUCUGUUUUCUUCACUCUGUUUUCCUCUCUCCAGUGCUCUUUCCUUGCAUACUUUGAACGACUAAGGUAAAGGACUAUAAGGCUCCAAAUCUUGGUUUCUUCAUGAAUUUGAGCUUCCAAAAGCUUUGCCAUGAACUAUAUACAGCUCUCCCUCAUUCUUAAAUUGUUUUGGUGAUAAAAAAGCUAUCAAAACACCAAAACUUAACACAAAUUGAUUAGAAGUGAUUGUAAGGGUCCUUAACAUGUUAAUUGAGUUAAAAGGUAAUAAAUACUACUCAAAAGUGUUUAAAAGAGUUAAUUACAAGCUAUCAAAUAGCACUUUUUGAGUAGUAAUCAACGUUCAUAAAUAUCUCCUCCCGCAUUAUCACCUCCAUCACCAAUUCCACCUCUUGAACCAUCGUAACCAGAAGCAAAAGUACCUACAGCACUAAGUCUACUACUAUGACCAGCACUUGUGGAGUCAAUCUCUUGAUGGGAAUUCAAUGCCGUCUGAAUUGAAUCAUCAGUAUCUUUGCUAAAACUUUCAGAGUGAACUUCUUUAGACAACACACGUUUAACAUUAACUCCAAAUUCUCGAGCAUGAGCGGCAAUUCGUGGAUUAGGAUUUCCAACUUUGUCACCCAAGUGUAUAGGCCUAACCCAUUGGAACAACUAAUUAUCUUCUUCUUCACCCACCUCGGCUAAAAUGUCAAGAAGAUCAACGUAAUCUUUUCUAGCAACUCGAUCAUUUUCUGCCUCCAUAUUGUGUAACUUUAACCUCAUAUUAUAGUAACAAAAAACUAAUUGCUCCUAUUGAGGGUAAGCCAAACGAUUUCAUUGCUUUGUGUGGAUAAGAGCAAACGUGCUUCGAUUUCUUUCACAGGAAAAAGAUGACACAAUUUGUGAGAGAACUUUGAUGGCUAACUUUCUCAAUGUAGGUGUUUGAUUCCCCUACAUAAACCACCAUUCAACUGCAACCAAUUUGAUAAUCAUAUUAAUACUUAUGUGGUGAAUUUACAAUAAUGAUAAUCAAUUUUUUCCUAUAAAGACUCACCGGGCACCAUGGUUGACCUUGCUGCAAUCGUCGCUCGAUCAUCAAACCCUCUUUUUGCAUCUCGAAAAAGCACAAGUUAUGUAUUCAACAUUUAAUUUGUUAAUAUCAUAUUUGUUAGUAAACGUUCAAAUAAAUUGAUGAAUGAAAUUAUUAUUUUAUUGACAAAAAUAAUAGUUUUUUAUUUACCUAAUUUCCAAAUUGACCAAGUGAUUUAGUUGGGUCUAAUUUUGCAAAAACAUCAUGGACCGCUUGAAGUAGUUCCGGAUCACUACCAACUCCACGCCUAUAUUGAAAUCUUGGAUUCAAGAAGUAUGCUAUAAUAAAAUUAAGUAGAGUUAGUAUUUUAUUAAAUAAAAUUAAAUAUAGAGUAAAAACUUAUAAAAAUAGAUAAUACUUCAGUACCUGCUACAUGAAGUGGAUGUUUUAAUGUUUUCUCCCAACAAUCUUUUAUUAUUUUAAAGAGUCAAUCUCCAGCUCCUUGACGAAUAAGGUUCUCUUUCAUCAUGUGCAUAAGUUUGUACACAAAUGGCAUUGUGGGAACAACUUUAGAAUCCAUAAGUCGAAGCACCGCAUAUAAUGGCUCAUAUAAUGAAACUAUAUUUGUCACUCUGUCCCAAUACAUAUGGUCACACAAUAAUUGCUCCAAAUCUAGUCCAAUUUUUGUUCGACUAAGCUUCUGUUGUGCCCAUUCAUUACUCAUAAACAAUUUUUUCAAAUCAAAACUAGUAACCGAUUCCAUUUCCAUAAAUCUAUGGAGUUCCUAAAGUUAUUAUUUAUCUUAUUAUUAAUCAAGGAUUUCUUAUAUAGCUAGAACGACCCUCACAAAUAGCAUUUUUUUAAUAAGACUGUCAAAAACAAUAUAAUUGGUAGCAAACCUUGUAGCUCCUGGUCGAAUAAUGUCUCCACCACAAUACUUUCUCAUUUGUGCAAGUAACCAACCAUGAUUGUAAAUGAAGUUAGUUUUUUUGCAAGCAGUGUUUAUCACAUCUAUAACACUAGGUCUUUUACCAAUGUCUUCAAAGAUUAAGUAGAUGCAGUGCGCUACACACGAAGUCCAAUAUAAGUUAUACUUCUUCAUCAAUUGUUUCCCUGCUUUCAUGAACGCCAACUCAUUAUUUGUGACAAUUUAGACCGCAUUUUCUUGACUGACUUCUUUGAUAAUAGUCUUCAAUAGCUCGCAUGUAUACUUGUGGUCUUUGAUAUGGUUCGAUGCAUCGAUUGACUUAAGGAACACCGUGGUCCCUUUUGAAUAAACCAUGAAAUUAAUAAUACUUAAUUUCGUGGGCCCUGUCCAUCCAUCUGACAUUAUUGUGCACCCAUAUGUCUUUCAUUUUUCUCUUUGCUAGUUCACAUAAACUUCCAUUUCUUUGUACUCCAUUUCCAAGUAUUUGUUCUUUAUUUCAUAUGGAGAUAGAGGUUCGAUUCCC
rnacentral:lncRNA from 1 species